UCCCUAGUAGCGGCGAGCGAAGCGGGAAGAGCUCAAAUUUAUAAUCUGGCACCUUCGGUGUCCGAGUUGUAAUCUCUAGAAGUGUUUUCCGCGUUGGACCGCACACAAGUCUGUUGGAAUACAGCGGCACAGUGGUGAUACCCCCGUACACGGUGCGGACGCCCAGCGCUUUGUGAUACACUUUCAAUGAGUCGAGUUGUUUGGGAAUGCAGCUCAAAUUGGGUGGUAAAUUCCAUCUAAAGCUAAAUAUUGGCGAGAGACCGAUAGCGAACAAGUACCGUGAGGGAAAGAUGAAAAGCACUUUGGAAAGAGAGUUAACAGUACGUGAAAUUGUUGGAAGGGAAACGCUUGAAGUCAGACUUGCUUGCCGGAGCUUGCUUCGGUUUGCAGGCCAGCAUCAGUUUUCCGGGGUGGAUAAUGGUGGUUUGAAGGUAGCAGCCUCGGCUGUGUUAUAGCUUUCCACUGGAUACAUCCUGGGGGACUGAGGAACGCAGCGUGCUUUUUGCGAAGGUUUCGACCUUUUCACGCUUAGGAUGCUGGUGUAAUGACUUUAAACGACCCGUCUUGAAA
rnacentral:rRNA from 1 species